rnacentral:rRNA from 1 species
UUCUGACCGUAAACGAUGCCAACUAGCGAUCCGCCGGCGGCUCUUCAAGGCCCUGGUGGGGAGCUUCCCGGAAACGAAAGUCUUCCGGUUCCGGGGGAAGUAUGGUUGCAAAGCUGAAACUUAAAGGAAUUGACGGAAGGGCACCACCAGGAGUGGAGCCUGCGGCUUAAUUUGACUCAACACGGGAAAACUCACCCGGCCCGGACACCGUGAGGAUUGACAGAUUGAUAGCUUUUUCAUGAUUCGGUGGUUGGUGGUGCAUGGCCGUUCUUAGUUCGUGGAUCGAUUUGUCUGGUUUAUUCCGAUAACGAGCGAGACUCCAGCCUACUAAAUAGUGCGGGCGUUGCCUUUGCGCCCUUGCACUUCUUAGAGGGAUUGGCUGCGUCUAGCGGCACGAAACGGAGCAAUAACAGGUCUGUGAUGCCCUUAGAUGUCCGGGGCUGCACGCGCGCUACACUGGCAAAGGCAGCGUGCUUGUCCUGCGCCGAAAGGCGUGGGUAAACCAUUGAAAAUUUGCCGUGAUUGGGAUCGGAAAUUGCAAUUAUUUUCCGUGAACGAGGAAUUCCUAGUAAGUGCGAGUCAUCAGCUCGCGUUG